AUGAACGCUGGCGGCGUGCCUAAUACAUGCAAGUCGAGCGAACAGACGAGGAGCUUGCUCCUCUGACGUUAGCGGCGGACGGGUGAGUAACACGUGGAUAACCUACCUAUAAGACUGGGAUAACUUCGGGAAACCGGAGCUAAUACCGGAUAAUAUAUUGAACCGCAUGGUUCAAUAGUGAAAGACGGUUUUGCUGUCACUUAUAGAUGGAUCCGCGCCGCAUUAGCUAGUUGGUAAGGUAACGGCUUACCAAGGCAACGAUGCGUAGCCGACCUGAGAGGGUGAUCGGUCACACUGGAACUGAGACACGGUCCAGACUCCUACGGGAGGCAGCAGUAGGGAAUCUUCCGCAAUGGGCGAAAGCCUGACGGAGCAACGCCGCGUGAGUGAUGAAGGUCUUCGGAUCGUAAAACUCUGUUAUUAGGGAAGAACAAAUGUGUAAGUAACUAUGCACGCCUUGACGGUACCUAAUCAGAAAGCCACGGCUAACUACGUG
rnacentral:rRNA from 1 species